GGCAAAGGGCUGUAGUUUGGUGGCAGAGCAGCUGCUUUGAAUGCAGAAGAUCCUGGGUUCAAACCCCCGUCUUUCCA